rnacentral:rRNA from 1 species
CUAAUACAUGCAAGUCGAACGCUUUGUGGUUCAACUGAUUUGAAGAGCUUGCUCAGAUAUGACGAUGGACAUUGCAAAGAGUGGCGAACGGGUGAGUAACACGUGGGAAACCUACCUCUUAGCAGGGGAUAACAUUUGGAAACAGAUGCUAAUACCGUAUAACAAUGACAACCGCAUGGUUGUUAUUUAAAAGAUGGUUCUGCUAUCACUAAGAGAUGGUCCCGCGGUGCAUUAGCUAGUUGGUAAGGUAAUGGCUUACC